rnacentral:lncRNA from 1 species
UCGCCAAAUACAUAGUACAGAAUACAAAUACAAUCUUAAAUAUAUAACAUGAGCUGUGAGUUUUAAUACAAACAUUGUCUUUUAGACAAUAUUUAAACUCAAAAUAAGUCCUCAAUACAUUUAUUAACACACUAUUUCAUAGAAUAGUGAGGACUACUAAUGCUAUCCUCUGGACCGUCACUCCGUUCCCCGACUAGUCCCUGCUACGUUCUCAUUUCCUGAAGAUAACAAUGAAAGCAAAAAGGGUGAGCUCAACUAGCCCAGUAAGAAAUAUUAUGACUAAGAUAAUACAGAAUAAAUUAUCAUUAGCCUUCAACAAUGUUAAACUGAUAAAAUACAAUAAACAUCAAGUUUAACUGCAGCGGAACAAGCAAUCCAUUAAAAGAGUCAAGUAGAGAAUAAAAUCUACUAUCUUUUAUGAUUUAAAAAAGUUUUUCAUCACUUUUAUCGCUGAGACUCAGCUUAAUAAAUAAUCCACAUCAUCCCUGCACUACGGCCAAGGAUAUUCAUGUAUUCAUCAAUGGUCAUGAUCAUGCCAACAACUGUCCAUCAAUGCACUAUGGGCCAAUGAGGACUUUUACCACACCAUUUGUAACAUUAUGGUUAUGAUUACACCGAAUAAUCCAUGGUCAUAAUCAUACCAAGUCCAUCCAUGCACUACAGGCCACAUAUGACUUUCAAAAAAAUAUAAUCAUGAGGAUGAUGACAAUGAUAUAAGAAUUCAAUAAAACAAGUUCAAGAAUUAAUUUAUUCAGGAACUAAUAACGUCCAAAUUGUCAAUAUGAUACUUCUUUAUAGAGUAAAAUUCAAGAAUGCUCAGAAGAAUAUUUCCAUGCAAAGAUACUAGAUGAAGCGCAAAUAUCAAGGAUAUUCCACUAAUUUCAUGGAGUAUAGAAGUCAAAACUUUAACCAACUGAGUAUAAUAAAGAAUGAAAUAACAAAAUAAAUCACCAUGCAUGCGGUACUUCGUAUAGACAGGUUAUUCCAACAGAAUAAUAAAUAACGGAACUAGGUCAGGCGAAAUUCACACCGACAGGAUGUUCCAACAGAAUACUAAAGAUGGAACCAGGUCCGGCGUAAAACACACAGACAUGAUAUUCCAACAGAAUAAUAAAAACGGAACCAAGUCCGACGUAAAACGCACAGACAGGAUAUUUCAACAGAAUAAUAAAGACGAAACCAGGUUCGGCGUAAAACGCACAGACAAGAUAUUCCAACAGAAUAAUAAAGAAUGGAAUAACAGAAGAAUUUCACCAAGUAAAGGGUAUACCGCGUAUACAGGUUAUUCCAACAGAAUAAUAAAGAAUGGAAUAAUAGAAGUUCUCUUCAUGAAUAUAAAAAAAAUAAUACCCCUUACGAGUACAAAAAAAUAAUAUCCCUUACCUUUGAAAGAAGAGUACUGGAUAUAGGAGUAGUGAAGUAGCAGAAUAAUUUUCUUUUUUCUCUCUAUAGUUUUCUCUCUAUAGAGUUUCAGUGAAUUCGUUAGAAAUAAUGAAGGAAUGAGCUUCUAUUUAUAGAAGAAUGGACUGAAUAGUAACUCAUUCAUGAACGGUCCAAAUUGAUUUACUUUUAAACGGACGGUCCAGAUUUAAAACAAAAUCUUUUAAAUAAAAUAUAAUAUAUAUAUAUAUAUAUAUAUAUAUAUUUAACAAAAUCACGAGAUGCCUCCCUUGAAUCCACUUUGCCAACCUUUCAAUAUAUAUAUAUAUAUAUAUAUAUAUAUAUAUAUAUAUAAAACAAAAUUAAUAUAACAUAUAUAUAUAAUCCAAUAACCCGUGAACAAAUUCUCAGCCAACCUCCCCCAAAGUCAUAAACAUGUGGGCCCCAUAUGUCAUCAUCACAUGUGGGCUCCACCUCUUAUAAUGAAAAAUUUUCUACCGAUUAUUUUGAAAAUGGGUAAAUGGGAGUCCAUAAAUAAGUAAAAUUUUAAUACGUCAUAAAAAUACCCUCAAUAUUUUUAACAACAUUUAUCAUCAUUAUUAUAAUUCACAAUAUUAAUCGACCAGGUCGUUCCCAAGAAAGAGGGGGCUUUCCAAUAAGGAUUUCUCCCUAUUGGCGCGCAAUUAGGUGACCAAACCUCUCCUUGACAGAACUUCUAGACAUCGUUAAUAUUGUAAAUAAUAAUAUUAAUAACUCCGUCGUCUCAAUUAUUGAUUUAAUAAUAUAUAUAAUAUCGACAAUAAUUGAAUCAAAUAACGUGAGAUACUAUGUAGCAAUUACUAUAGCAAUAAUUGAACAAAACUGAGUGACUUCUCACGUAAACAUCAAUAAUCAAUACCGUGUGCUACUAUGCAACCACUCAUAUUCCUAUACUUUUAACACCGGAUGUUUCAACAGUUAACGGUAAAACUACCGCCGUUAUUUUCAUAAAAAUAUUUUUGUCGUUUUCUCAAUUCGACAAUAAUUCCGUUAUGGGGUCCACCAAUGAUUGUGUCGUCGUACGAAUAUUCCUUGUUAAAACAAAUAUUCCCCGACCAAUCGAAUAUUAUAUAACAACUUGCGUACUUUGCAAAAUUUAUAAAUAUUACCCACAACUAUAACAUUAUAUCAAAUUUAUUCCCUAAUAUUCAAAAAUGAUAUUUAUAGAAAAAUCAUCUUUAUUCAUAAAAACUGGGGUCUUACAACCUCCCCUUCUUAAGAAAUUUCACCCUCAAAAUUAGGGUACGUACCUGGUAUGUCAAAGAGGUAAGGAUACCUUGAUUUCAUUUCAGAUUCUAACUCCCAGAUCAUUUCCUCAACAUCGUGGUUCCUCCAUAAAACUUUGACUUUAGGUAUAACCUUGGAGCGUAGAAUAUGAUCCUUCUUAUCCAAGAUUUGAACAAGAACCUCUUCAUACGUCAAAUCUUCUGCUAUUUCGUCCGGUUCUAACUCAAUAAUGUGGUUCGGGUCUUCCACAUAUUUACGUAACAUAGAUAUAUGAAAAACGUUAUGAACACGAGACAUACUUGGCGGUAAAGCGAGUCUAUAAGCCACAGUUGCUACUCGAUCGAAGAUUAAAAAUGGGCUAAUGAAUCGAGAAUUUAGCUUUCCUCUCUUUCCAAAUCUCGUAACUUCUUUCCAUAGAGCAACACGUAACAACACAUGAUCUCCAAUAUCGAAUUCCACGUCUUUUCGAUGAAGAUCAGCAUAACUCUUUUGUCGAUCUUGUGAGGUUUUUAUACGUUGCCGGAUCGUUUGAAUCUUUUCCGUAGUCAUACGUACCAACUCUGGUCCCAACAACGUUGUUUCACCCACCUCAUCCCAGCAUACUAGAGAACGACACUUUCUUCCAUACAACGCUUUGAAUGGAGCCAUGCCAAUACGUGCUUGAUAACUGUUGUUGUAUGAAAACUCCACCAACGGUAAGAACUUGUCCCAACUUCCCUUGAAGUCAAGGACACAGAGUUUUAAUAAAUCUUCAAGAAUUUGAAUAGUCCUCUCUAAUUAUCCGUCCGUCUGAGGAUGAUAUGCCGAACUAAAUCGUAAAUCUGUGCCCAUAGCUUUUUGCAAACUAACCCAAAAUCUUGAAAUGAAUCUUGGGUCUCGAUCAGAAACUAUCGAUACUGGCAUACCAUGCAAUCUUACAACCUCGUUUAUGUACAUACAAACAAGACAUUUAAGUGUAUAAGUUUCUCGUAUAGGUAAGAAAUGAGCAGACUUGGUCAAUCUAUCAACAAUGACCCAAAUUGCAUCUAUGCCUUAAGAAACCUUGGGAAGACCAGUAACGAAAUCCAUGGUAAUGUGCUCCCACUUCCAUUCUGGAAUUUCAAGUGGUUGCAAUGGACCUUUGGUACUUGAUGCUCCACCUUAAAUCGUUGACAAGUUAAACACCUUGAGAUAAACAACUAUCUCCCUCUUCAUAUUGCCCCACCAAAAUGUAUGUCGAAGAUCAUGAUACAUUUUGGUACUCCCAGGAUAGAUUGCAAACGGUGUGUUGUGUGCCUCCAUCAUGAUUUAAUACUUUAAAUCAGGGUCGUUAGGAGCACAAAGUCUGGAGUUGACUCGAAGUAUUCCUUCUUCAUCGAUUCUUGCUUCUGGCAUAACACCUUCUUGUACUUUCUUCCUCAUAUACAUCAGCUCCAGGUCUGUAGCUUGAGCAGCUUUAACUUUAUCGAUUAAAGUCGGUUCUACUCGUAUAUUCGUCAUCAUCACGUGGGUCCCUAGAGUCUUUAUCUCUAUCUCCAUACUUUGCAAGUCAUACAAAAUGGGCCUUUGCGUUGACAAUAUCGCACUCGUACCCGCAUAUGAUCUUCUACUCAAUGCGUCAGCUACCACGUUUGUUUUUCCAAGAUGGUAUUAAAUGGUAUGAUCAUAAUCUUUCAACAGUUCAAGUCAACGUCGCUGUCGCUGUCGCAUGUUGAGUUCCUUUUGAGUGAAGAAAUAUUUGAGGCUUUUAUGAUCCGUAAAAAUCUCCACUUUCUCCUCAUACAAGUAAUGCCUCCAAAUUUUAAGUGCGAAGACAACAGCUGCCAACUGUAGAUCAUGAGUAGGAUAAUUCCUCUCAUAUUCUUUGAGUUGUCGAGAGGCAUAGGCUAUGACUUUCCCAUGAUGCAUGAGAACACAUCCUAACCCUUUGCCUGAAGCAUCAUUGUAGAUGACAAAUCCCUCCAAACCAGAUAGUAUUGUCAGAACAGGUGCUGAAAUGAGUCUUCUUUUGAGUUCUUGAAAACUCUUCUCACAUUUCUCGUUCCAACCGAAUUUUAUAUCUUUCUGAGUCAGCUGAGUUAAGAGAGUAACGAUUCGAGAAAACCCUUCUACGAAUCUCCGAUAAUAACCAGCUAAGUCGAGAAAGCUACGUACUUCGGUCACUGAUUUAGGUUGCUCCCAGCUUUGGAUAGCUUCAAUCUUUGUUGGGUCAACAGAUAUUCCAUGACUUGAUACUACGUGCCCAAGGAAUGCUACUUCCUCAAGCCAGAACUCACAUUUCUUCAACUUGGCAUAAAGCUUGUAUUCACGAAGCUUUUGGAGUGUCAGCCUCAAGUGUUGCUCAUGAUCUUCACGGCUUUUGGAAUAAAUAAGGAUGUCAUCAAUAAAGACGACCACAAAGUGAUCCAAAUAUUCCUUGAAUACUCGGUUCAUCAUAUCCAUGAAGGCAGCAGGAGCAUUAGUCAAUCCAAAAGACAUGACUAGGAAUUCAUAAUGCCCGUACCGAGUUCUGAAAGCCGUCUUUGGAAUGUCAUCGGUUCUAAUCUUCAAUUGGUGAUAUCCGGAACGAAGAUCAAUCUUUGAAAAGAAUUUGGCUCCUUGCAACUGGUCAAACAGGUCAUCAAUACGUGGCAAUGGGUACCUAUUUUUGAUGGUGACAUGAUUCAACUCCCGAUAAUCAAUACAAAGUCGCAUACUCCCAUCUUUCUUCUUCACGAAUAGAACAGGAGCACCCCAAGGAGAAGUACUAGGACGAAUAAAGCCAAUGUCUAACAAUUCCUGCAGUUGGGUCUUUAACUCCUGAAGUUCAAUAGGAGCCAUUCGAUAUGGGGAUUUGAAAAUGAAUUUUGUACCGGGUUCAAGGUCGAUACAAAAUUCAAUUUCACGUUCUGGGGGUAGGCCAGGAAGUUCUUCAGGGAAUACGUCAGGAAAUUCAUUAACAAUAGAAAUAUCAUUCAAAACUGACGUAUUUUUGUUUAGAUCCGUGACAUGAGCUAAGAAAGCUUGACAUCCGUUUUUCAAUAAACGAAUAGCUUUAUGGCUUGAGAUGACAGUGAUUGAUUUUAAUGGUUUGGUUGCUUGAAUUCGCAUAAUAGGUUGAUUAGGAAUAUAAAAGCUAACAACCUUACGAAAACAAUCAAUUUUUGCAUGAUGAGUAGUUAACCAAUCAAUCCCUAGAAUUACGUCAAAUGCAAGUAUUUUCAAUGAAAUAAAAUUCGACAGGUAAUGUGAGGUAUAUACUUCGCUAGAGUUUAUGAUAAGCUUACCCGUGAUGACCUCGUUCAGGUUUCUUGAUUUUUGGGAGGUCACGACAAACGCUCUCCCUUGAACUACCGGUUUUGUCUUGUUUGGGACGGCCUUUGAUGCCUCCAUCCCUUGAAAUCCCUGCUGGUUCAAAUACUUUUGCAGGUCGCUACAAAUAGAAAAAGCGGGACAAAAUUCAGAGAGAAAAAUGCAGUUUGCAAUAGAAAUAGAAACGUUUCUAAGUAAUUGUUUGCAUUACCUCUGUAGCAAAUAUUUAGUAACCACUCCAGAACCUGGUGCGAGACUUGUUUUUACCCAUGGCUUAACCUCAAGUAUAUGUUUAUAAACCACAAGGAAAAAUAGUCAUCACAUCCUAAAUACAACAAUUUUACCAAUCUCUUACCUUGAAUCCAACAAGACACUGCAAUUAUUGAAUAGAAAUAUAGAAUAGUACAUUAGCAGAACAACAACCUAACUAAUGCAAUAAACCCAGAUAGCAAAACCCAGCAAAAAUAGAAAUGACCAAAUAAUCACCUAUGAACAAAUAACAAACGCUAAAAUGAGCAUAGGAAAAAAAAUUAAUACAUCCAAUCUGGCCAUGAGCAGGAUAAACAAUGAAUCAAAACAUGAAGCACAGAUCGAAACAACACAAAUAACAUCCAGAUUUGAACACUAAAGGAAUAAGCAAAAAAUCAGAAGUCCAGAUCAGAUAAUACCCACAGUGAAAGCCAAAAUGAACUACCAGAUCGAGCAGAUCCCACAUCCAAACUCCAACCCAAGCAGAACAUCAAGAUCUAGACCGCAAAACCAUAACCCCAUACCUCCAGAUCAUAACUUCAAACCCUCCCUCAAAAAAAACCCUUACUAAUCUAUAACAGAGAAGCCCCGCGAUCUAAGCCUUCAGACUUAGCUAUAUAAGAUCGAAAAUAAGAGUUUCAGAGGGGUGCCAUAACAGCCGCCGAUAAAGCUCGAAACAACACCCAGUUUGUAAAGAAAUAGAGAAGAAGAGAUGGUGGGUCGGAGAAGAGGAUAAGGAAGGAGAAGAGGAGCAGGUGGGCUGAAUGGAACGAUGGGCGAAGGAGAAUGAAGGACAUGCUCGCCGGAUGAGAGCCCUUAAUCACAUCAGCCUUCUCCCAAAUGCUCAAGACCGUACUGGUUUUAAUUUCAAAUUUCUUCUUCCGUGUUUUAAUAUUU